rnacentral:tRNA from 1 species
GGCUGUAGCUCAAUGGCAGAGUGCUUGCCUAGCAUGCAUGAGGCACUGGGUUUGAUCCUCAGCACCA